UUUUUAUGUACCUCUAUCAAAAGGUGCAUGACGCUUUUGCGUGUUCAGUUCGGUGGAGAGCAAAAAGGUGUGAAGCUGUCUGAACCAACAUUUGAUGCUUUCUUGAAAGAAGUUGGUGGGUCAGGCCAUGGUUGACAAAGUGCCAUCUGAUGAGAUGAUGAAAACGACCUUCAUACCGGGACUGAUAGAACAGGAUUUCAGACUUCUGUUUGAUGAGACAACGGCCAACAAAUUCUUGGAGAGGUGGCCAACCACUUUCAAAGCAAAAGUAAUAAAGGAGAGCCAUGGACUUGUACCCACCACAGAACUCUUGGACUUGAUGCACAAUGCUGAGUCAGCUGCUCAAGUUGAGAAUGGACAGAAGCAGCUUCAGGGCUCGAAGGAAGAGAAGAGAAGAGAAAGGACUGACCCUGAAGUACUGACCCUGAAGUACUGACUCUGAAGUACUGACUCUGAAGUACUGACCCUGAAGUACUGACUCUACAGCGUGUUUUCGAACUUCCUCCACAAUAUGGCCACACACCACAUGCAGAGCAAGAUGGCAACAUUGACUCAGAGCCAACGUAUCAAACUUCUGGCCAGGUCCAUGCUGAAACCAGGCAUGCAUGUUAUGGGCAGUUGAGUGAUGAU